rnacentral:lncRNA from 1 species
CUGGUCGCCUCGUUCCGUUCGAUUCCAGAAAGCCGCGCCGGCCCCAGUCCCCAUGGGCUGAAGGCAGGUUGAGUUCUUCCCCAGGUCUGCGAGCCUCGAAGGCUUCUUUCAGACAGCAGACCCCUUAGAAGCGCAAGGCUGCUUUCUGACAAAGAAUCAAGUGUUCCUUUCAACCAGCCAAGGGACUGGUUUUCUCGCUGACCCUUUGACAGCUCCAGCCGGUCCCUCCAUUCGAGGUCCCUGACUUCCUGCAACAGACUGAGAUGGCCUUCUGAGCUUUUCCAGGGCUGACGACCACCUUCUUGAUACCUUCCCCUCUCUCGUUCUGAAUCCGUGCCCACCAGAUGGGGCCGUCUAGUUGCAGGAAAACAAGCUCAGGGCUCCCACUGAUUCUACAUGAUGGGAAUCCAGGCUUUCGGAGAUGAGGACUGGGAGGUCUCCAGACCACACAAGCCCCCUAUUUGCACUGGCCUUUGGAAUGAGCCUACAGCCUGCCUCCACUCCUCCUGGUACCCCAGCUGUUCUCAAGGAAUUGGCCAGAAGUCAGACUCCUUUCCCAGCUGUCCUCCACUUCUUUCCUGCCAGGCACCCUAGGCCCCAUGGUGGGAUUGGGCCUAUAGGCUGUGAUUUUCCACAUCCUUGUCAAACCUGUACUACCUGAAUGCCUAGAGGAAAAGAUACUGCCUUAAUUACUAUUAUGAGCACGAAUGCCUUCUUACUCUUGAAUUUAGCUGAGUGCUGCCUGCAGGUAAAGUCACCUGGAGAACCAUCCAGGGACUUUGUCCUCAUAGGAUCACUUGUACCUCUCUAGGGUUGCUGUGGCAGCUGCCAGAGUGGCCCGGGCCAUGGAUGAGGGCCAGGAUAUGGAAAGCAGAGGCAGAAAUGAGCCCAGAGGCCACAGGGCCCAGCUCUCAGGCUCCCACGGUGAAGCCCAGAGGGUUCCUUCUCUCUCCUGCUUCAGGCUGACAAUGUUUGUCAGCCUCUGCUCCCAACCCCUAUACCCAGCAACCUCUGCGCCCAAGCACAUGGUCUGAAGAAUAUUCUGGUGUUGGGCCCCUGUAGGUGGCCUGCCGUGACGGUGGAAGCCUGGAACGUAGUGACAUGGAUUCAUCAUUGGGAUGUUUCAUCCUAAGGAAACGCACUCGCAGGUGGCUGUAGACCUUGGGGACUCCAGCCUCGUUCAUUUAAGCUCCCACAAUGUUCCAGGCCCUAUGCGGCUUGCAAGGGGCAGAGAGACACAGAAUGACAGCCGACAUGGCACUCUAUUGGUGCACUGGCACUGUUUUUUUUUUUGAGAUGGAGUCUUGCUCUGUCACCCAGGCUGGAGUGCAGUGGCAUGAUGGAGAUGCAACCUCUACCUCAUGGGUUCAAGCGAUUCUCCUGCCUCA